AGGCACUGUGAGAACACAGGGUGGAAAUGGGUACCCAGGUGAUGACAGCUGAACAGAGCUCAGGCUCCAGCCACAUGGCUGCUGCAGCUAAAACGCUCUGGGGAGCCUCUAGCCUCCACAGCUCAGUGUGGACUCGGCCACUUACUAGUGUGAGAAAUAGAACUGGCAAUUAAACCAACACUGCAAACAGAUACGAUUCUGUAAGAAACAUUUAAUGUGAACUCUUAAGUAAAACUUGUAUCUUUCUCUCUGAUCAUACAGGUGGGACAUAGUCCCCAGUGGAAAAUCUGGGAAACAAUGAAAAAUACAAAGAAUAAAAUGAAAAUGACCAAUAACCUCAGGAGUAAUCAUCAACACUUGGGGGUUUAUAGGCAUUUUCCUAUGCGUGGAAGCAUGUAUUAGGAAUAUAUGCUGACUUUGAAGAAAGUAAUUGUAAUUUUCACAUGUGGUGGCUAAAUUCCUCAACAGAGAGUGGGUGGCAGCCUCGUACCAUACCUUGCAUUGCUGGGAGGGUCAUACUGCAAAACCCAGUUGACUUCAGGAAUAUCAAUUCCCCGGGCCAUCACAUCAGUGCACACUAAAAUCCCACUAGGAAAUGAGAAAAAAGCAUUCUGAGUAAGGAGGCCACCAUCUUCAUCACCAUCAAACAGCCUACUGAUCUCGAUGACAGUGACACACAGGUGCUGGAGCUUCUCACAGAAGCAAAUGUUUAAGAUCAACACAUUUAUCUCUGGAGAAAAGGGGAAAAGAACCAACCAGUCCAAAGAACAUAUGCAUCUGUCCCUACGCUGCCUUCUGACCACAGGACAAAACCCCACUGUGGCGGACUCCAUGGGUGGCUGAUAAACACUAUUCCCAACCACUUCUUGCUUCACUGGCCACUACUACAGAGGCAGAAAAGCUGCGCACUCAUUUUCUCUGCUGCUCUUGAAGUGAGGGGCCACCACGUGACCCACUUUUGGCCCCUAAGAUGAAUUCACAGCUGAAGUCAACUAGGGCAGAGGGGUUUCUGAAGAAGCUCUUUGCUCUCCUGAUUAAAAGGCAUGGAUAUAGCUAACAUUGCCCUAAGCCCCCUCUGCCUUUCCCCCCUUAUCUUUCUUCAGUGGAGACAUGACAGGGUGUAAUAGUGGUCAUCCAGAAUCCAUGAGGUGACACAUAGGAAGAGAAGACCAAUCACAUCAACAUUGACCUUGACAUGACUGACACAUGAAACCCAUGUGAGAAACUGCCUGCCUUUGGACGACUUUUUACGGGAGAAAAAUAAAGCCAACCUUGUUCGGACAACAAAAGUUGGGUUUUCAGUUAUUUGCAGCCAAAAGCAUUCCGGAGAGAACCAUGCUAGAUGGAAUCCAAAACCCAAAGGCCGCAUGCACCUGCACAUUCUGGCUGAAUCCCUGAUGCCUCUACCACAGAGACCAGAGGAGUACCUGAAGAAGACCAGGUGUUUCUCCUGCUUAUGAUUGCGAAGAAAAUGGACCAGCUGAUUAAAUUUCUCAUCUGCCUUGCAUACCUGCAAAAUAAAAAGGGAAACUAAUAAAAAACAUAUUUGGCAAUAAUAA